UACGGAGGGUGCGAGCGUUACUCGGAAUUACUGGGCGUAAAGCGCGCGUAGGCGGACUUGUAAGUCUGGGGUGAAAUCCCGGGGCUCAACUUCGGAAGUGCCUUUGAUACUGUAAGACUCGAGUCCGGGAGAGGCGGGCGGAAUUCCUGGUGUAGAGGUGAAAUUCGUAGAUAUUAGGAAGAACACCGGUGGCGAAGGCGGCCCACUGGACUGGAACUGACACUGAGGCGCGAAAGCGUGGGGAGCAAACAGG
rnacentral:rRNA from 1 species